CCAGAAUGGAGCCAAGGGCCCAAGGGGAAUGGUAUAGAAGGAUUGGCUUCUUCCAGUCAGAAACCCCCUCCCACCCACCCAUCAUAAUGGGCUUAUCCUAAUAGGAACCCACCCCCACCACCACCAUGAUUGGCUUGUUCUAUUCGGGCCUCACCCAUGAUUAUAAUUGGUUUUAUCUUAAACUGGGCUUACCCAGCACCAAGCAUGGCUUAACCUAAGCAGGAUCUUCCCCACCCCAGACCUCUUCCAGGUUGGCUGGUCUUGUUGGUUUUGCUAUUUUCAAUGAUGUUUAAAUGCAUAAAGAAAUCCAAACAAUGGAACCAUUCUGAAGGGAACUGCUACACAGGAGGGGACAGUCAAGACUGAGGUCCAGCAUGAAUACCUGAACUAGGUGGAGAUCUGCUAGGAAAAGGAAAGGCCAUGGGGGUUUGAAGAAGGAACAAAAGGCUCUAGCUUCAAGAACCCAAAUUGCCAGACGCUAUGAGGCUUAACUUUUUUUUUUUUUUUUUUUUUUUUUGAGAUGGAGUUUCGCUCUUGUUGCCCAGGCUGGAGUGCAAUGGUGCGAUCUCAGUUCAUCACAACCUCCACCUCCCAGGUUCAAGAGAUUCUCCUGUC
rnacentral:lncRNA from 1 species